CCGGUAGAGAGGGUGCUCAGAUAACCGACAGCGUUUCUCCCACCCUCAUCACUGUCCGACUUACCCCGGGCUGGCAUCAGGGAGUGUUGUCAGGCGUUUAUGCCGUUAUGAAUGGCUUUAUGAUACCUCGAGAGGGGGACCAGGGCCACCGGCUUCAUGGUGGCUAUUUUCUGAAGGUGGCAGGAGAAGAUAAAACCAAAAUUCAGGGUUUGCUUUUUAAAUACCAUGCUAGUAAAAUCAGAACAGUAAUGACGGGAACCAAAAGAUCUAUCUGAAAUGUUCCUAAGCCAGACAGAUGUGAGGACGCACAAUGUAAACGUUAUGCAGCAGCUUUGGGAGAGGCUUUUUAUGGCUC
rnacentral:lncRNA from 1 species